UAAGGCAGGCGUAGCGAAAGCGAGUCCGAACAGGGCGAUCAGUUGCUGGGCGUAGACCCGAAACCAAGUGACCUAUCCAUGGCCAGGUUGAAGUGCGGUAACACGUACUGGAGGACCGAACCCACUAACGUUGAAAAGUUAGGGAUGAGCUGUGGAUAGGGUGAAAGGCUAAACAAACUUGGAAAUAGCUGGUUCUCUCCGAAAACUAUUUAGGUAGUGCCUCGUGUAUCACCUUCGGGGUAGAGCACUGUCAUGGUUGUGGGGUCCAUUGCGGAUUACUACGCCAUAGCAAACUCGAAUACCGAAGAGUGCAAUCACGGGAGACAGACAUCGGGUGCUAACGUCCGUGUCAAGAGGGAAACAACCCAGACCGCCAGCUAAGGUCCAAAGAUUGGCUAAGUGGGAAACGAAGUGGGAAGGCUAAAACAGUCAGGAGGUUGGCUUAGAAGCAGCCACCCUUUAAAGAAAGCGUAAUAGCUCACUGAUCGAGUCGUCCUGCGCGGAAGAUGUAACGGGGCUCAAGCCAGUCACCGAAGCUGCGGAUGCGAGUUUAACUCGCAUGGUAGGAGAGCGUUCCGUAAGCCUGCGAAGGUGUGUCGAGAGGCAUGCUGGAGGUAUCGGAAGUGCGAAUGCUGACAUGAGUAGCGAUAAAGGGGUGAAAAGCCCCCUCGCCGUAAGCCCAAGGUUUCCUACGCAACGUUCAUCGGCGUAGGGUGAGUCGGCCCCUAAGGCGAGGCAGAAAUGCGUAGCUGAUGGGAAGCAGGUCAAUAUUCCUGCACCAUUGUUAGAUGCGAUGGGGGACGGAUCGCGGAAGGUUGUCCGGGUGUUGGACGUCCCGGUCGCUGCAUUGGAGAAGGUGCUCAGGCAAAUCCGGGCACGCAAUUCAAGGUGUGGCGCGAGUGACUUCGGUCACGAAGCAAUUGGAAGUGGUUCCAAGAAAAGCCUCUAAGCUUCAGUCUAGCGAUGACCGUACCGCAAACCGACACAGGUGGCGAGAUGAGUAUUCUAAGGCGCUUGAGAGAACUCGGGAGAAGGAACUCGGCAAAUUGGUACCGUAACUUCGGGAUAAGGUACGCCUCUGUAGCUUGACUGGCCUGCGCCAGGAGGGUGAAGAGGUUGCAAUAAACUGGUGGCUGCGACUGUUUAAUAAAAACACACCACUCUGCAAACACGAAAGUGGACGUAUAGGUGUGACGCCUGCCGUGCCGGAAGAUUAAAUGAUGGGUGCAAGCUCUUGAUUGAAGUCCCGGUAAACGGCGGCCGUAACGAUAACGGUCCUAAGGUAGCGAAAUUCCUUGUCGGGUAAGUUCCGACCUGCACGAAUGGCGUAACGAUGGCCACACUGUCUCCUCCCGAGACUCAGCGAAGUUGAAGUGUUUGUGAUGAUGCAAUCUCCCCGCGGCUAGACGGAAAGACCCCAUGAACCUUUACUGUAGCUUUGCAUUGGACUUUGAACCGAUCUGUGUAGGAUAGGUGGGAGGCUAUGAAAGCAGGACGCUAGUCUUGCUGGAGCCGUCCUUGAAAUACCACCCUGGUUUGUUUGAGGUUCUAACCUUGGUCCAUGAUCUGGAUCGGGGACAGUGCAUGUAGGCAGUUUGACUGGGCGGUCUCCUCCCAAAGCGUAACGGAGGAGUACGAAGGUACGCUAGGUACGGUCGGAAAUCGUGCUGAUAGUGCAAUGGCAUAAGCGUGCUUAACUGCGAGACCGACAAGUCGAGCACGUGCGAAAGCAGGUCAUAGUGAUCCGGUGGUUCUGUAUGGAAGGGCCAUCGCUCAACGGAAA
rnacentral:rRNA from 1 species